rnacentral:lncRNA from 1 species
AGAUCUGCUUCUCAUGGUACAGCAGUUGAUAUCAAAAUAUUUGACAUAUCUAUUCAAAAGUAAAUUGGUUUGAAACUUCCUCAAUUGGCUAGACAUGGAAGCGAUAGCUUCUCUAUAUAUUCUUUUUCUUUUUAAUAUGAAAAAUAUAAAUUUCCUGAAUUAGGUUCUUAUUUGAUUUCCUAGUUCCCAUGGUUCCAAGCUAAAUUGCACAUUAUGAGCAAUGGUGAUGGAAUAUGCUGCCCUAACAUCUCUUUUCACCUCCUUCUUCCAAAAACAAAAAGCAGAACAAGUAUAUUGUUCUAUAAAUUGUUAUAAUUGGUUGUGCAAAGUUUGAUUGUUGAGUAGUGUUAUAUUGUACUAUUUUGAGUAUUUAAUUACAUUUUUGUGUGUUAAGUUGAAUUCAUUUGUUCUUGAAAUGUGGGAAGAUAAGUGUCUAUUGAAAUAUUGUUAUCACUGUCAAGGAUACUGGAUCUCUUUUGGUGUCUGCUGCAUUUUUUAUGAGUCAAUUUGGAUUUUGUUGUUAGGUAUUGAGAAAUUGUCUACACCUUAUGCAUUAUGCGGAGAAGGUUUCUUUCUACUUGCUGAAGUAAUAUAGUUGGAUCUAAUGUUUAAUGCUAAUCUAUCUAAGGGUAAACAGUAUUUGUGGCAAUAAGUAGGGGUUUAAAGUGGCAUCACUCAAUUGUUUAAAGUUUUUUAUUUAUUUUAAAUUAUGGUAUUUCUAUUAUAUUUUUUAAUUUCUUAUACUUUCUAUUUGUAUCUAGUGUUUAAUGUAAAGUAAAAUAUUUAUCUUUCAAAGUAAAAGAGCUAUUUCGAUUUUUUUUUUUUCAAAUCAGAUAUUAGAUUUAAGGGAAUAAAUGCAUUUGCUUUUAAUGUGAAGUAAAACAACCACCUUAAAAGAGUCAUUUUAGUUUCUUUUUUUAAAAUAAGAAAUUAUUUCUUUGUAUUUGGAUAUUUCUGUUAUAUUUUUUGCUUUUUAUGCUUCCUAUUUCUAUCCAGUGUUUAGUGCAAAGUAAAAAAAUCUAUUAUUCA